UAGCGUAUUCGUUUGACGUUAGCGACAGAAGAAGCACCGGCUAACUCCGUGCCAGCAGCCGCGGUAAUACGGAGGGUGCGAGCGUUAAUCGGAAUUACUGGGCGUAAAAGCGCAUGCAGGUGGUUUGUUAAGUCAGAUGUGAAAAGCCCGGGCUCAAACCUCGGAAUAGCAUUUGAAAACUGGCAGACUAGAGUACUGUAGAGGGGUAGAAUUUCAGGUGUAGCGGUGAAAAUGCGUAGAGAUCUGAAGGAAUACCGGUGGCGAAGGCGGCCCCUGGACAGAUACUGACACUCAGAUGCGAAAGCGUGGGGAGCAAACAGGAUUAGAUACCCCUGGUAG
rnacentral:rRNA from 1 species